GCCGGGUGUGGUGGCUCACACCUGUAAUUCCAGCACUUUGGAGGCCGAGGCAGGUGGAUCACCUGAGGUCAGGAGUCCAAGACCAGCCUGGCCAACAUGGUGAAACUCUGUCUCUA
ensembl:misc_RNA Metazoa_SRP Metazoan signal recognition particle RNA